GAAGAAGUGGCGCAGAGCAGGCGCUGACCGGCCGCCCGCGUGCUGUGUACUUCGUGGCUCAAUUCAUCUCGCGUCGGUUACGCAACGCACUAUUAUUCGUCGGAGAUCGAGAAUGCACCGAAGGUCGUUGCCAUUAAACCGUUACUAUGGGAAGGCCACGCGUGAUCCCUACACCUGAAGAGCAGCUUAUCUACGAGGAGCGACAGCGAGAGCAGCGGCGGGAGAGAGAUCGUCGACGUCGUGCCAAACCGACGGCCCGAGGAGAAGAGCGUGCCCGCGAUGUGGUACGUAAGCGACGAGCAAGAGCCGACGACGCCGAGAAUGCCGCAAAGAGACGUCCACGCCACGAGGGCACGGUGCCGGGAUUCGACGUCGCCUAUACGCAAGUUGUACAGAGCGCAGAAACAAAACUGUCGGAAGAAGCAUCAAGUUUUGCUACCGCAGGUUUGCUUGGCCACAGUCCCUCGUUCGACAACCUAGGUCGUGCUACCGGCUUGAGGAGGUAUGUGGAGCUUUGCACAGUACAAGCCUACACUGUCGGCAAUAUCAAAGCCUCUGUCGGCCAACACCACAUCACCAUGAGAUAAAUGGUCAAGAAUGCCGCAGUGUUCAGUAAUAUGUUUGUCAGGGGUCCUGCCUCCCCAACCAUCGGAAAUAAAGGUGAUAACUCCCUGAGGACAUAUUCCUAUCAGGUACUUGGCUGUAUUGCUAGAUUUGUAUUGGGACCAAGUCUGA